rfam:Gossypium raimondii Chr13_contig_794, whole genome shotgun sequence.
AGGAGCCGUGCGAGAUGAAAGUCUCAUGCACGGUUUUGAAUGAGAGAAAGAAGAGAGGAAUCCUCUUUUCGACUCUGAC